UUUUUUUUUUUUUUUUUUUUUUUUUUUGAGACAGAGUCUGCUCUGUCGCCCAGGCUGGAGUGCAGUGGUGCAAUCUCGGCUCACUGCAAGCUCCGCCUCCCGGGUUCCCGCCAUUCUCCUGCCUCAGCCUCCCGAGUAGCUGGGACUACAGGCUCGCCACCCUCGCCCGGCUAGUUUUUUUGUAGUUUUUGGUAGAGACGGGGUUUCACCGUGUUAGCCAGGAUGGUCUCUAUCUCCUGACCUCGUGAUCCACCCGCCUCGGCCUCCCAAAGUGCUGGGAUUACAGGCUUGAGCCACCGCACCCGGUCGCAGAUUCUUAACGGAAUCCCCAUAAUACAUUAUGAAGGGCAUUUCCUGAAGGCAGGGCAAAUCAGAGUUCACGUAGCUUCCACGUCCAUGAAUUCUUUCUGUUCAUGUUUGCCGCAGAAAGAGUGGCUUGGGUUUUUCCAAAGCGGCAUGAUGCCGGUUCACGUUCCGAGCAAUGUGAAAGACUAGUUUUAAGGAGGGAGAUAAAUGGCUCAGGCUUGGGAGGCCUGGUCUCCUUCACUCCCUUAAGAUCUUCUCACCCAGCACAUUUUCCACUUCCUGAGGGUGAUUUCAGUGUUCCAGGAAAGCUCCACCCAGCCAAAUACUGAACCACCAAGUCCCAUCCCACACACGGCAUAAAACCACAUGCAUACAUUACAAAGAAGUAGCCUAACCAAAUACAUAACCCAAGUGAAUAAAAAUCCCCCAGUCAUCAAGCCUCCUGUGACUGUUAAUUUUAUAUGUCAGCCUGCCUGGGCCACGGUGACCAGAUACGUGGAUGUUUCCAUGAGGGCUUUUUGGGGCGAGAUUAACAGUUACGUCAAUGGACCUUGAGUUAAGCAGAUUGGCCUCAUAAUGUAGGUGGGCCUCACCCAAUCAGUUGAAGGCCUGGGUAGAACACAAAGACGGACCUCCCAUGAGCAGGGGGGAUCCUGUAGCAGUCAGCUUAGGACUGGGACAGCAACACAGGCUUUUCUCUGGGUUUCUAGUCUGCCAGCCCAGCCUGCAGAUUUUAAAUUUGCCAGUCCCUAUAGUCACAUGGGGCCAAUUCCUUAAAAUAAAUAUUUCCUUUUCUCUUUCUCUCUUUACAUAUAUUUCUAUGUAACAAGAAUGGGUGCAUAGGCACAAGGAAAAGUUAUACAAUGAUGCCUGCUACAACACUGUAAGAGCAAAACCAUAAACAACACAAACAUGCUUCAAUAGGUGAUUUGUUAAUACAUUUGGUUCAUCAAUAGAAUGGAUUAAUUGCAGCCAUUAGAAAGGACAAUGGCCGUUGAUAUGGUUGGGCUGUGUCCCUGACCAAAUCUCAUGUUGAACUGUAAUAAUCCCCAUCUGUCAAUAGCAGGGCCAGGCAGAGAAAACUGAAUCAUUUGGGCAGUUUCUCCCAUACAGUUCUCGUGGUGGUGAAUAAGUCUCUUGAGAUCUAAUGAUUUUAUAAAUAGCAGUUCCCUUCGCAAGCUCUCUUGCCUGCUGCCACGUAAGACAUGCUUUUGCUUCUCCUCUUCCUUCUGCCAUGAUUGUGAGGCCUCCCCAGUCAUGUGAAACUGAGUCCAUUAAACCUCUUUUUCUUUAUAAAUUGCCCAG
rnacentral:lncRNA from 1 species